rnacentral:rRNA from 1 species
GGGUUGUGAGGUUAAGCGACUAAGCGUACACGGUGGAUGCCCUGGCAGUCAGAGGCGAUGAAGGGCGUGCUAAUCUGCGAUAAGCGCCGGUAAGGUGAUAUGAACCGUUAUAACCGGCGAUACCCGAAUGGGGAAACCCAGUGUGAUUCGUCACACUAUCAUUAACUGAAUCCAUAGGUUAAUGAGGCGAACCGGGGGAACUGAAACAUCUAAGUACCCCGAGGAAAAGAAAUCAACCGAGAUUCCCCCAGUAGCGGCGAGCGAACGGGGAGGAGCCCAGAGCCUGAAUCAGCAUGUGUGUUAGUGGAAGCGUCUGGAAAGGCGCGCGAUACAGGGUGACAGCCCCGUACACAAAAGCGCAUAUGCUGUGAGCUCGAUGAGUAGGGCGGGACACGUGGUAUCCUGUCUGAAUAUGGGGGGACCAUCCUCCAAGGCUAAAUACUCCUGACUGACCGAUAGUGAACCAGUACCGUGAGGGAAAGGCGAAAAGAACCCCGGCGAGGGGAGUGAAAAAGAACCUGAAACCGUGUACGUACAAGCAGUGGGAGCCCCACCACUAAGCCAGUGGUGAACUCCACAUACGCAUCCUUUGCUGAGGAGACGGUUAACGGAGCGAAAGCGACGUUCAACCUCAAAAGAAGCAGAGGGGGCUUAGUGGUGGGGUGACUGCGUACCUUUUGUAUAAUGGGUCAGCGACUUAUAUUCUGUAGCAAGGUUAACUGUAUAGGGGAGCCGGAGGGAAACCGAGUCUUAACCGGGCGUUAAGUUGCAGGGUAUAGACCCGAAACCCGGUGAUCUAGCCAUGGGCAGGUUGAAGGUUGGGUAACACUAACUGGAGGACCGAACCGACUAAUGUUGAAAAAUUAGCGGAUGACCUGUGGCUGGGGGUGAAAGGCCAAUCAAACCGGGAGAUAGCUGGUUCUCCCCGAAAGCUAUUUAGGUAGCGCCUCGUGAAUUCAUCUCCGGGGGUAGAGCACUGUUUCGGCUAGGGGGCCAUCCCGGCUUACCAACCCGAUGCAAACUGCGAAUACCGGAGAAUGUUAUCACGGGAGACACACGGCGGGUGCUAAUGUCCGUCGUGAAGAGGGAAACAACCCAGACCGCCAGCUAAGGUCCCAAAGUCAUGGUUAAGUGGGAAACGAUGUGGGAAGGCCCAGACAGCCAGGAUGUUGGCUUAGAAGCAGCCAUCAUUUAAAGAAAGCGUAAUAGCUCACUGGUCGAGUCGGCCUGCGCGGAAGAUGUAACGGGGCUAAACCAUGCACCGAAGCUGCGGCAGCGACACCGUGUGUUGUUGGGUAGGGGAGCGUUCUGUAAGCCUGUGAAGGUGUGCUGUGAGGCAUGCUGGAGGUAUCAGAAGUGCGAAUGCUGACAUAAGUAACGAUAAAGCGGGUGAAAAGCCCGCUCGCCGGAAGACCAAGGGUUCCUGUCCAACGUUAAUCGGGGCAGGGUGAGUCGACCCCUAAGGCGAGGCCGAAAGGCGUAGUCGAUGGGAAACGGGUUAAUAUUCCCGUACUUGGUGUUACUGCGAAGGGGGGACGGAGAAGGCUAUGUUGGCCGGGCGACGGUUGUCCCGGUUUAAGCGUGUAGGUAUGUGUUCCAGGUAAAUCCGGUUCACUUUAACACUGAGGCGUGACGACGAGGCACUACGGUGCUGAAGCAACAAAUGCCCUGCUUCCAGGAAAAGCCUCUAAGCAUCAGGUAACAUCAAAUCGUACCCCAAACCGACACAGGUGGUCAGGUAGAGAAUACCAAGGCGCUUGAGAGAACUCGGGUGAAGGAACUAGGCAAAAUGGUGCCGUAACUUCGGGAGAAGGCACGCUGACACGUAGGUGAAGUGAUUUACUCACGGAGCUGAAGUCAGCCGAAGAUACCAGCUGGCUGCAACUGUUUAUUAAAAACACAGCACUGUGCAAACACGAAAGUGGACGUAUACGGUGUGACGCCUGCCCGGUGCCGGAAGGUUAAUUGAUGGGGUCAGCGCAAGCGAAGCUCCUGAUCGAAGCCCCGGUAAACGGCGGCCGUAACUAUAACGGUCCUAAGGUAGCGAAAUUCCUUGUCGGGUAAGUUCCGACCUGCACGAAUGGCGUAAUGAUGGCCAGGCUGUCUCCACCCGAGACUCAGUGAAAUUGAACUCGCUGUGAAGAUGCAGUGUACCCGCGGCAAGACGGAAAGACCCCGUGAACCUUUACUAUAGCUUGACACUGAACAUUGAGCCUUGAUGUGUAGGAUAGGUGGGAGGCUUUGAAGUGUGGACGCCAGUCUGCAUGGAGCCGACCUUGAAAUACCACC